rnacentral:rRNA from 1 species
CGCCUGUAGUCACCAAUAUUACAGGUAAAACCUGCCCGGUGAACCAUUUAAACGGCCGCGGUAUCCUGACCGUGCAAAGGUAGCAUAAUCAUUUGCCCCCUAAUUAGGGGCUAGCAUGAAUGGUCAAACGAGAUUAUAGCUGUCUCUUCCAAGACCCUAAAAAUUUUUCUUCAGGUGAAGAAACCUGUAUUAAUAUAAAAGACAAAAAGACCCUGUCGAGCUUUAAUUCUUUAUAAACGCUGUAUAAUAUAUACACUCCCCUGUAAUCAAUGUUUGUUGGGGCGACAACGGAAAACACAAAACCUCCGUAACACUCAAGACCACAAGUCUUACCAUGGAUCCCCUAAAGGACAAUCGGCACCAGCUACCGCAGGGAUAACAGACUAAUCCCUCUCAAGAGCCCAAAUCAACAGAGGGGGUUGGCACCUCGAUGUUGGCUUAGGAAUACUCUUAGAUGCAGAAGUUUAAGAAGUAGGUUUGUUCAACCUUUAAUAUCCU